UGGGGAAUUUUGGGCAAUGGGGAAACCCUGAUCCAGCCAUCCCGCGUGUGCGAUGAAGGCCUUCGGGUUGUAAAGCACUUUUGGCAGGAAAGAAACGUCGCGGGUUAAUACCCCGCGAAACUGACGGUACCUGCAGAAUAAGCACCGGCUAACUACGUGCCAGCAGCCGCGGUAAUACGUAGGGUGCAAGCGUUAAUCGGAAUUACUGGGCGUAAAGCGUGCGCAGGCGGUUCGGAAAGAAAGAUGUGAAAUCCCAGAGCUUAACUUUGGAACUGCAUUUUUAACUACCGGGCUAGAGUGUGUCAGAGGGAGGUGGAAUUCCGCGUGUAGCAGUGAAAUGCGUAGAUAUGCGGAGGAACACCGAUGGCGAAGGCAGCCUCCUGGGAUAACACUGACGCUCAUGCACGAAAGCGUGGGGAGCAAACAGGAUUAG
rnacentral:rRNA from 1 species